GUGCCUAAGGUAUGCAAGUCGAACGAUUCCUGUAUCUUCGGAUACAGGGAGUGGCAAACGGCUGAGUAACGCGUAGGAACCUACCCCAAACUCGAGUAUAGCCCCGCGAGAGCGGGGGUAAUCCUCGAUAGCCCGUGAAGUAUUUUACUUCACGGUAAAGCUUUUGCGGUUUGGGAUGGGCCUGCGUCCUAUCAGGUAGUUGGUGAGGUAAAUGCUCACCAAGCCUAUGACGGGUAGCUGGUCUGAGAGGAUGGUCAGCCAGACUGGGACUGCGACACGGCCCAGACUCCUACGGGAGGCAGCAACUAGGAAUUGUGCGCAAUGGACGAAAGUCUGACGCCGCGACAUCGCGUGGAGGAUGAAGGUCUUCGGAUUGUAAACUCCUUUUCUUACCGAACAAGUUCUGAGUGUAGGUAAGGAAUAAGUGCCUGCUAACCACGUGCCAGAAGCAUCGGUAAUACGUGGGGCACGAGCGUUAUCCGGAUUUACUGGGCGUAAAGAGAAGCGUAGGCGGCUCAAUAAGUUUGGUGUUAAAUCUUCCGGCUCAACCGGAAACAAGCACCGAAAACUAUCGAGAUUGAGUCGAGUAGGGAAGAGGGGAAUUCCUGGUGGAACGGUUAAAUGCGUAGAUAUCAGGAGGAAUACCAAGGGCGAAGGCACCUCUUUGGACUCGUACUGACGCUGAGGCUCGAAAGCGUGGGUAGCAAAACGGAUUAGAUACCCGUGUAGUCCACGCCGUAAACGAUCCCUGUUAGAUGU
rnacentral:rRNA from 1 species